rnacentral:rRNA from 1 species
UACGUAGGGUGCAAGCGUUGUCCGGAAUUAUUGGGCGUAAAGAGCUCGUAGGCGGUUUGUCGCGUCGGCUGUGAAAACUCGGGGCUCAACCCCGAGCCUGCAGUCGAUACGGGCAAACUAGAGUGUGGUAGGGGAGACUGGAAUUCCUGGUGUAGCGGUGAAAUGCGCAGAUAAUCAGGAGGAACACCGGUGGCGAAGGCGGUUCUCUGGGCAUGUCCUGACGCUGAGGAGCGAAAGUGUGGGGAGCGAACAGG